rnacentral:lncRNA from 1 species
UUUAGCUUGUAUGUGUAAUAUAUUGUUUUUUGCACAACCUUUACAUUGUUCUUACAAAACAAUACGUUCCACAGACAAGAAAAAAGAAUGGGAAAAUUCGUGUUAAUUUCAAUAUUUUUGUUGUUAUUUUGCCAUUGCAGUUUUUCAAUGCCACUGAAUAUCGAGGCAUAUAAUCCUGUGGACUACUUUUUUCGCCAAAGUAAGUAUAAUUGUUUAAUAUUUUUUUAACCAAACAGGCUAUAGUCGUUUGAUUUAAAAAAUAUAUAUACAUAAAAGAAAUAAAAUUGCAGUAUUUCUUUUGUCCACUUUUGUCCAUCUAAAAUUAUCAAAUCAUAUGACUUAUAAAAUACAAUAUACAAUCUACAUUGUGGAAGUUCGUCGAUAUGGUGCAUAUAAUAAUGAUGAAAAUAUUAGGCUCACUUAUACCAGGAUUAAAAUGUGUGUAUGUCAAAUGCGUGUUUCGUCAACAAAAGACUCAUCAGUAUCAAUCGAAUAAAAAAGGACCAAAAUUAAGUACUAGUACUGUACAUUGCUAACUUUCGGUCGAUGACCAUGCUGAGGAACAGCAAGUCACUGAUAGUCUAAUGUAUACUUUACUUUCAAAUUUAUAUUUAGGAAAUUCAAUAUACUCUUAGAUAUAUAGGUAUGCCAUGCAUUUUAUCAUUUUUACUUAAAUAUUUCUCCCGCUAAAGAGAUUUACUUAACGUCUCGCUCAGAAUAUAUCAUUUUAUGAAGGCGUAAAAAACUGAGACUGUUCAACUGUGCUGUCGGAUAAAUCCAGAAUUGCUGAGAUGCAUGAAAUAUUGUUAUUUAUAAAAUGAUAUUUUAAGAGUCCGCUGUGUACAAUUCUAAUUUAUAAAUUCAACAUUAGCUAUAUUCUGCAACUAUAUAUGACUUCAAAUCGUAUGACGGGUGACACUUUCGUAGCAGAUGAUACUACAACGAUGAACUCCUAUAAUUGUGUUUAAAUUGAGUUACGCUUUAUCUGACCCUGGUACCAUUUUUUUAAAAUGUUUUUCAUCUUAAAUUCUCUUCUCUUCACAGUUUAUGUAGAUCCUAAUAAGAAAAAAAGAGAAAACUUUCUUACAAAAAAUUGUCAUGACUUUUUUUGUUGUGGUAGAACUAUACAGUGGGAACUCUUAAAAUAUCAAACUGCAUUGUGUUUUGAUUAUCUUAUAAACUUAUUCUUGUCUUAAUUAUAUUAAACAAGUUAUUUUAUCUUGAUAUGGCAGUAACUAAUUGUAUAUUUGUCUAGUAAAAACUUUUAAAUAAUUUCAGGAGAUAGGUCCUAUAACACCAUGACCAAUUACAACAGCCUAGGCAGAGUUAGUGGUACAUCGAAGAAGAGAGUUUAUUAUAUUAACUUUAAAUGAUUUUCAUUGAUCUGAUAUCGUCAAUUUGACAUUGGAGUAAACUGUGUAAAGAUAUUUUUGUUUGAUCAAUGCGUAAAACAACUAAUUGAGAGUUUGUCAUUAUUUUAUUUUAUGAAAAUGUACAAUAACAUAUAUUAAAGAACAAUUGUGUAUUAUCUUAAUUCUAGGAGUAUCUAAAACACUCUAAAUGUGUAUUUACUAGGUUGUUGUUUUCUUAUACAAUGACUCUGAACAACACUGUCUCAUUUCGAAAUGUUAAACAAAAAACUUCGAAACUUGUAAGAUUUUAUUAACAGAUGCCCAUCUCACUAUUAAUCUAACUAAAUAGUUGUAAGUUAUUCUUUUACCAGAAACUACGAUGAUCUGAUAUGUAAAUCAA